AUUGAACGCUGGCGGCCGGCCUAACACAUGCAAGUCGAACGAGUGGCGGACGGGUGAGUAAUGUCUGGGAAACUGCCCGAUGGAGGGGGCUAACUACUGGAAACGGUAGCUAAUCUCGCAUACCAUCGGACGUGCCCAGAUGGGAUUAGUUAGUCGGUGGGGUAACGGCUCACCUAGGCGACGAGCCCUCGCUGGUCUGAGAGGCUGACGAGCCACACGGGAACUGAGACACGGGCCUGAGUCCUACGGUAGGCAUCAGUGGGGAAUAUGGCACGAUGGGCGCAAGGCGGAUGCAGGCAUGCCGAGUGUAUAAAUAAGUCCUUCGGGUGGUAAAGGACAUUCUGCGAAGGGGCAUUACUCGCAGAAGAAGCGCCGGCUAAAUCCGUGCCAGCAGCCGCGGUAAUUC
rnacentral:rRNA from 1 species